GACGAACGCUGGCGGCGUGCUUAACACGUGCAAGUCGAACGGAAAGGCCCUGCUUUUGUGGGGUGCUCGAGUGGCGAACGGGUGAGUAACACGUGAGUAACCUGCCCUUGACUUUGGGAUAACUUCAGGGAACUGGGGCUCAUACCGGAUAGGAGCUCCUGCUGCAUGGUGGGGGUUGGAAAGUUUCGGCGGUUGUGGAUGGACUCGCGGCUUAUCAGCUUGUUGGGGGGGUAGGGGAUGACCAAGGCUUUGACGGGUAGCCGGCCUGAGAGGGUGACCGGGCACAUUGGGACUGAGAUACGGCCCAGACGCCUACGGGAGGCAGCAGUGGGAGAUAUUGCACAAUGGGCGGAAGCCUGAUGCAGCAACGCCGCGUGCGUGAUGACGUCCUUCGGGUUGUAAACCGCUUUCGCCUGUGACGAAGCGGGAGUGACGGUAAUGGGUAAAGAAGCACCGGCUAACUACGUG
rnacentral:rRNA from 1 species